GCAUCAAUGGGGUAGUGGUAACCUGGGUCGUUGCCAUUUCGAGACAAUCGAUUGUCUCGACCCGCCGGGGGUUCGAUUCCCUCUUGAUGCA
rnacentral:tRNA from 1 species